AUGGACCAUUCCAUCCCUUUUUCCCAUGCAUAUGCAUCAGAUUCGGAUGACGAAGGUCCCAAUGAACAAGUUGAUGAGGAGGGGUUCACAGUGAAGGAGGCCGAAGCUUUCGAGAAGGUAUUCAGUCGGGAUCACAAGACACCAUUGUUCAAGGAUGUUAGUCUCGCGGAUGAAGCCAUUGUGGAUGGUGGCAAAUCUAUAUCUCUUGGGGUUAGGCCAAAGUCUCUCCGUGAUUUAGGAGACGAUAAGAACCGGAUUGCUAAAGGGUCUAAGUUCGAAACCUUCUUGUAA
rnacentral:rRNA from 1 species